GUUGCCAGCCCGCUCAGAAACUCAAAGGAAUUGACGGGGCCCGCACAAGCGGUGGAGCAUGUGGUUAAUUCGAUGAUACGCGAGGAACCUUACCUGGGCUCAAAUGUAUGUUGACGUAUUCUGAAAGGGAUACUUCUUCGGACAAUAUACAAGGUGCUGCAUGGUUGUCGUCAGCUCGUGCCGUGAGGUGUCGGGUUAAGUCCCAUAACGAGCGCAACCCCUAUCAUUAGUUGCCAUCAGGUCAAGCUGGGGACUCUAAUGAAACUGCCUACGCAAGUAGUGAGGAAGGUGGGGAUGACGUCAAAUCAGCACGGCCCUUACGUCCAGGGCUACACACGUGCUACAAUGGCCGGUACAAAGGGCAGCUACCUGGUGACAGGAUGCUAAUCUCAAAAGCCGGUCUCAGUUCGGAUCGGAGUCUGCAACCCGACUCCGUGAAGCUGGAAUCGCUAGUAAUCGUGGAUCAGCCAAGCCGCGGUGAAUACGUUCCCGGGCCUU
rnacentral:rRNA from 1 species